rnacentral:rRNA from 1 species
AGCGAACGCUGGCGGCAGGCUUAACACAUGCAAGUCGAACGGGCGUAGCAAUACGUCAGUGGCAGACGGGUGAGUAACGCGUGGGAACGUACCUUUUGGUCGGAACAACCCAGGGAAACUUGGGCUAAUACCGGAUAAGCCCUUACGGGGAAAGAUUUAUCGCCAAAAGAUCGGCCCGCGUCUGAUUAGCUAGUUGGUGGGGUAACGGCUCACCAAGGCGACGAUCAGUAGCUGGUCUGAGAGGAUGAUCAGCCACACUGGGACUGAGACACGGCCCAGACU